CCUACGGGAGGCAGCAGUAAGGAAUAUUGGACAAUGGUCGCAAGACUGAUCCAGCCAUGCCGCGUGAAGGAUGAAGGCCCUAUGGGUUGUAAACUUCUUUUGUAUGGGAAAAAACCCCUCUACGUGUAGAGGGCUGAUUGUACCAUAAGAAUAAGGAUCGGCUAACUCCGUGCCAGCAGCCGCGGUAAUACGGAGGAUCCAAGCGUUAUCCGGAUUCAUUGGGUUUAAAGGGUGCGUAGGCGGAAUGAUAAGUCAGUGGUGAAAGCCUGCAGCUUAACUGCAGAACUGCCAUUGAUACUGUCAAUCUUGAGUACAUUUGAUGAGGGCGGAAUGUGUCAUGUAGCGGUGAAAUGCUUAGAUAUGACACAGAACACCGAUUGCGAAGGCAGCUCUCAAAACUGUAACUGACGCUGAGGCACGAAAGCGUGGGUAUUAAACAGGAUUAGAUACCCUGGUAGUCCACGCUGUAAACUAUGAUUACCUCUAUGUUGUCGUAUACACUAGUAGACGUCGUAGACGAAGACGAGUAAGUAAGUACCACCCGUACGGGUAGGUACGUCGUCGCGACGAGUAGAACGUACGAAAGGAAAGUUAGUUACGGCGUUGGAGGACGUUACGACCGACGGACGACGACGAGGGAGGAGGGAG
rnacentral:rRNA from 1 species